rnacentral:rRNA from 1 species
UACGGGGGGGGCAAGCGUUGUUCGGAAUUACUGGGCGUAAAGGGCUCGUAGGUGGCCAACUAAGUCCGACGUGAAAUCCCUCAGCUUAACUGGGGAACUGCGUCUGAUACUGGAUGGCUUGAGUUUGGGAGAGGGAUGCGGAAUUCCAGGUGUAGCGGUGAAAUGCGUAGAUAUCUGGAGGAACACCGGUGGCGAAGGCGGCAUCCUGGACCAACACUGACACUGAGGAGCGAAAGCCAGGGGAGCAAACGGG